rnacentral:rRNA from 1 species
UACAGAGGUGGCAAGCGUUAUUCGGAAUUAUUGGGCGUAAAGGGCGCGUAGGCGGCCAUUCAAGUGACGGGUGAAAGCCCUCGGCUUAACCGAGGAACUGCCUGUCAGACUGGAUGGCUCGAGACCGGGAGAGGUGAGUGGAAUUCCCAGUGUAGCGGUGAAAUGCGUAGAUAUUGGGAGGAACACCAGUGGCGAAGGCGGCUCACUGGACCGGAACUGACGCUGAUGCGCGAAAGCGUGGGGAGCAAACAGG